GACGAACGCUGGCGGCGUGCUUAACACAUGCAAGUCGAACGGAAAGGCCCUGCUUUUGUGGGGUGCUCGAGUGGCGAACGGGUGAGUAACACGUGAGUAACCUGCCCUUGACUUUGGGAUAACUUCAGGAAACUGGGGCUAAUACCGGAUAGGAGCUCCUGCUGCAUGGUGGGGGUUGGAAAGUUUCGGCGGUUGGGGAUGGACUCGCGGCUUAUCAGCUUGUGGGGGGGGUAGUGGCUUACCACGGCUUUCACGGGUAGCCGGCCUGAGAGGGUGACCGGCCACAUUGGGACUGAGAGACGGCCCAGACUCCUACGGGAGGCAGCAGUGGGGAAUAUUGCACAAUGGGCGGAAGCCUGAUGCAGCAACGCCGCGUGCGGGAUGACGGCCUUCGGGUUGUAAACCGCUUUCGCCUGUGACGAAGCGUGAGUGACGGUAAUGGGUAAAGAAGCACCGGCUAACUACGUG
rnacentral:rRNA from 1 species